UACGUAGGGGGCUAGCGUUGUCCGGAAUCAUUGGGCGUAAAGAGCGUGUAGGCGGUCCGGUAAGUCCGCUGUGAAAGUCGGCGGCUCAACCCUCGAAUGCCGGUGGAUACUGUCGGGCUAGAGUGCGGAAGAGGCGAGUGGAAUUCCUGGUGUAGCGGUGAAAUGCGCAGAUAUCAGGAGGAACACCUAUUGCGAAGGCAGCUCGCUGGGACGUAACUGACGCUGAGACGCGAAAGCGUGGGGAGCAAACAGG
rnacentral:rRNA from 1 species